GCCUGCGCACCCCAGAGCGUUUGACCGUUGAAGCGAAACAGCUGAUUUCCCCAGUAGUCUGCAGUUGGUUCAAAAUCAAAGUUUAGGGAUCAUCAUUUUAUUAACAAAGUGCUUUGGACGGAUAAGUGUUGUUUUAGUCGUACUGGCAUUUUAAAUUGGUAUAAGUUUCCAGUAGGUAUUUGAUGGCAGAUUACUUCUGAAUGUGGUUUGACGUUUCAAAACUGGAGUAACUCAACGAUGGUUGUAGCUUGGCAAAUUAUGAAAGACUAACUCCUACGAGCCCUGUUCUAGUUUUGAUAAACUGAAGACAAAAGAACCUGUUGCUAUGGAUACAUUAUAUUGACGUUUUAUGAAAUUUUUUAACUGGAAAUUAUACCAUUAUGUAUAUUUUUUGCAGCAUGACAAUUACAUA